rnacentral:pre_miRNA from 1 species
AGUGAAAUUGCUGGGUCAUCUGGUAAUGCUAUAUUGUGUUUGGAGGAACUGCCAUAUUCUUUACCACCACAGCUGCACCAUUUUACAUUACCACUGGCAAU